CCCUGCCAUUUGUACACACCGCCCGUCGCUACUACCGAUUGAGCAUUAGGGUGAAAUCUUCGGACCGUGGCAUACUUCUGGCUUAGCCAGUCUUUGUCCGUGGGAGGUCGCUUAAAUCCUGAUGCUUA
rnacentral:rRNA from 1 species